rnacentral:rRNA from 1 species
UACGUAGGGUGCAAGCGUUGUCCGGAAUUAUUGGGCGUAAAGAGCUCGUAGGCGGUCUGUCGCGUCGGAUGUGAAAACCCAGGGCUCAACCCUGGGCCUGCAUUCGAUACGGGCAGACUAGAGUUCGGUAGGGGAGACUGGAAUUCCUGGUGUAGCGGUGAAAUGCGCAGAUAUCAGGAGGAACACCGGUGGCGAAGGCGGGUCUCUGGGCCGAUACUGACGCUGAGGAGCGAAAGCUAGGGGAGCAAACGGG